rnacentral:rRNA from 1 species
CCUACGGGAGGCAGCAGUGAGGAAUAUUGGUCAAUGGACGGAAGGCUGAACCAGCAAAGCCGCGUGAAGGACGAAGGUGCCAAGCAUUGUAAACUUCUUUUGUCAAGGGACAAAAACAGGCUCGAGAGCCUGACCGAGGGUACUUGAAGACAAAGCAUCGGCUAACUCCGUGCCAGCAGCCGCGGUAAUACGGGGGAUGCGAGCGUUAUCCGGAUUUAGUGGGUUUAAAGGGUGCGUAGGGGGACGUUUAAGGUAGCGGUAAAAGGCCGGGGCUCAACCCCGGCGCGCCGUUGAAACUGGGUGUCUUGAGAUGUCGAGAGGUAUGCGGAAUGCGCAGUGUAGCGGUGAAAUGCUUAGAUAUUGCGCAGAACUCCGAUUGCGAAGGCAGCAUACCGGCGGCGAUCUGACGCUGAGGCACGAAAGCGUGGGUAUCGAACAGGAUUAGAUACCCCAGUAGUC